AACCAUUUUUAAUUGUCAAUCAUUUAAAAUAAUGACAAGUUUCUAUGAUGAGUAAAAUUUUAUCAAACCAAAAUCAAACCAAAGUAUUUCAAUUAAGUGAGCUUGUGAAAAAUGCAAGUUUAUCUUUAUUUUUUGGCUCCAAAAGGAUUGAUCUUGAAUCUUUGAUAUUUUACCGUAAAAUAUUGCAAAGCCAUGCUAAAAGAUAUCAAACUCGGUGUAAAGUGUUGAAUAUCUUAGGAGCCCAAGUAUUUACUGUUAAUCUAGUGAGUUUUCUGGUUUUGGUCAUGUUUCAAUUGGAUCCAGUGCGUGUUAACUCAGCCAUCACAAUAAUCCACGACUUUACAGUUAUAGGUUUGGGCAUAUUUAAACAUAAAUUAUGUAAUUGUUUAAGGACUAAAUCUUGGAUGAGAAACCGUGCAAUUGAAACAGGAUUGCUUAUACUCCGUGGGAACUCAGUGUUUUCAUUAAUUAUGGAGGAUAUGGAGACGAGCAACAGUUCUCAGCCUUUAUCAAAUUCAACAAUUUCGGAAGUCUACGAUAAGAAGGAACAAAUCAAGGAUCGUUACCACUUUAGUUAUCCUGUUCUCUAUGUAGUUAAUAUAAUCUGGAUGGGUUACCAUGCUGCUACUCUUUAUUGUAUCCAAAAGAUGAUUUUGAUGUUAAAUUUGAUGAAAAAGACAAAAAGAAUUUUCAAGGAUCUAACUAAAGUACAAACUGAUACAAAAAAGAUUCGUAGAUAUGCUCAAUAUCGUCGUCCAUCACAUAGAACAACCAAAAGAUCACCUUAUGACCAGAAAUCACCAAAAUAAACAAAAAUUUUUAGAAAAUUUGAAAAACUCAUUGUUUUGCUCAGAAAGCAGCUGGAUGCCUUGGAAUCCCCGAAUAUUGAUGGCAAUCAAAGUGACGAAUCAGAGGGUUUGAUUGUCAAUAUUGCUCUCUCUAUCCCUGUUAGCUCUCUCCUGUUUGGUUCAAAUUGCUUCAGUUCGACGAUCACUUUUUAGCAACUAAGAACGUGCCAAAUUUCUGAUGCAAUUAGUCAACGGUGUUAAGGUUGAUGCUGAAACCAUCACAAAAUUCACUGUAACAAGUUUACAAAUGGGCCAAUGUCCACCUAAUUCAAUUCACUAUUUGCUGAAUCUCUGGCAAAGGAUGGUUGCAUCAGUGCCAUAUGUCAAAGCUCAAGAGCCACAUCCCUUGGAAACUUAUACACCUGAAGUUACAUUACUUCACGAUUAGAUGUCGUUGCUCAAAUUGUUAAUGAAGGCUUAGAUAGUCCAUUUGAAGAUGUUGGAAUGAUUCAACAACAACUAGAGCAACUUUCAACAAUAGCUCGUUGUGAAUAUGAGAAAACAUGUGCUCUUAUCGUCCAACUGUUUGAUCAAACUGCACAAACUAACCACGCAAACCCAUUGUCGAUUGGUUAUUAAUGAUCUUGAACCGUAUAAAAUAAUAAAUGAUUGUAACAAAUAAAACAUAUACUUA